CACGUAGGCGGAUGUGUCAGUCAGGGGUGAAAUCCCGGAGCUCAACUUCGGAACUGCCUUUGAUACAGCACGUCUUGAGUCCGAUAGAGGUGGGUGGAAUUCCUAGUGUAGAGGUGAAAUUCGUAGAUAUUAGGAAGAACACCGGUGGCGAAGGCGGCCCACCUGGAUCGGUACUGACGCUGAGGUGCGAAAGCGUAGGGAGCAAACA
rnacentral:rRNA from 1 species